UUCAAAAAUUGGCAUUUUCACCACUUUUCAAGGGGUGCGGAACGAAAAUGGUAACUCUAGAAGAGGUGAAAUUAAUUUUCACCUCUUCAAAACAAACGAAAAAACCGUUAAACUGGUAGCCCUAUCAUCAGCUGUUGUUUACUUUUCGAAAUGUCAAAAAGUUCAGUCGCGAAAGAAAUCCGGGAGUGUUUCUGAUUUUUAAUCAAACAAGUUCGAUUCCUUCCGAUGCAUUUUUAUAUGGAUGGCUGUUCCAGUAUGCAUGUAUAUCUGCAGACACACAUCAGGACAUCAUCAUUACCAGGACCUAAUAAGAGCUGGAGGAGAAAUGAGCCGAGAAGAUAUCCCUUGAACUAUUUAACCUCGAAACUGGGAGAAUCAUGCCACACCGGGAUAAAAUAGAGCAUCCAUCAUGCCAUCAGCUCCACAUUGAUGCAGCUCCGGCAGCUAACCAAUAUACUCACGAAUUGUGCCCGAAUUCGGCUUAGACGGUAGUGACUCGAUAAACCGAUAAGUUCCAGCAUUAGAAAACGAUGAUCUAGACGGUAUAAAUAACGCAUCGGCGUCUGGGAACGGUACGUCUCGGGAGGACUCCAGCAACAGUACAACCCCGGUGCACACGAGGAGAACGGUCAAAUCCAGACAGUCACCGUACCCAAGCCUAAGGAAAACAUGCAAUAUCAUUCUCCUAAUAACCUGCGACGUCCAAGGGUGCUGUUACACUUCAUGCAUAUCUUAACAACCGUCAAUCUGUCAAUAUAAAAUUAAAUCUCUGAGAUUAUUUCAAAAUUUCAAACUUUCUCA